rnacentral:rRNA from 1 species
CCCUUAGAUGUUCUGGGCCGCACGCGCGCUACACUGACGAAGUCAGCGAGCAUGUCCUACGCCGACAGGUGCGGGGAAUCUUGUCAAACUUCGUCGUGAUGGGGAUUGAUUAUUGAAAUUCUUGAUCAUCAACGAGGAAUUCCUAGUAAGCGCAAGUCAGCAGCUUGCGUUGAUUACGUCCCUGCCCUUUGUACACACCUCCCGUCGCUACUACCGAUUGAAUGGUUUAGUGAGAUCUUCGGAUUGGCGCCACUGCGGCUCAGCAAUGGGCUCGGUGGAUGCCGAAAAGUUGAUCAAACUUGAUCAUUUAGAGGAAGUAAAAGUCGUAACA